GCGUGCGUGUGUUCGUCAGUGUGUGUAUGUCAGUGCGAGCAAAAGCCCUGGUGAGACUCAAGUGUAGGAGCUCUGGCCGCGGAUACAGCCAGCGCUGAGCUGAAAACAGACAGGAAGUUAGUGGCUGCAAACCUCAGUCCCCGCGUUGGCCCCUGGGACCGGGAUGGCAAGCGAGCUUUUGGACACCCGGGGACCCGGGAAGUAUCCGCGGGCGUGAGCUCACCUUGGCGUUCUUCCGGGGAGGGGAGACACCUGGAAGCCUCUGAGCGGAGCCCCAGGGAGGGAGCUGUGCCACCGCCGUUGCCUGGCUCCCAGCGGAGAGAGGACGGAGGGCGUGACCAUGCAACUCCAGCGAGGCUCAACUGGUGCGAGGCGGGUGCUGCGUCGCGCUUGGGCCGUGCGCCCUGGGUGGCUUUGCAAGGCGGGCGGCGAAUGUGCAGGGUCAGGUUUUUUGCAUGAAGCCGCUGGACCCCUCGGAGCAGCGGCAGCGACAGGGGCGGUGGAGCACAGUUGGAGGCGGGCAGCUACGGGUCCGCGUCCCGGUGCCUAAGCGACUGCAGACUCCCCCAUGAACCACAGCUGAGGCUUCCCGGGAGGCGGUGGCGCCCGAGGCCGGGUGUGCAAGGACGGGGAAGGGAGCAUCUCAGGGCACUUCAUGCUCCAGACCUCAGCCUUGGACCCUAGUGGUGUAGGAAUGGCUGACCGAUCAUGGCGGCUGGUGUCCCUACAGCCCUGCUGUGAAACACCACUUCAAGGCGGUGCUGCGCUGGUCCACGCGCGGGGCCAGCGUGGUGUUGGGCUAGGUGGAGAGACAGAUUGCCCCCUACAUCAUCGACCUGCAGUCCAUGAACCAGUUCCGCCAAGACACGGGUGAGCCAUCCAAAUCCCUGGUCUGUCCACUGACUCACCCAGUGACUAGCUUUGCUUACUGAUGUCCUCACGUGAUAGGUGUUGAGGGCAGGUGUUUCCCUUCCUUAGAUCCUCACAGGAUUCCAAGACCACCUUCAAGUAUUUGUCCUGGCAAGUAGUUUAAAUUGUCUUGAUUAUACAAACCCAGCUUCGGCCUAGCUGCAGGAGACCCCUUUAUGCCCCCAUCGCCACCCCCAGCCCCUACUGGCCCUUAGUGCAGGAAUUCUAGGACUUUGCAGUUCCCAAGGAAUGCGGGGUCUUCAGCAAGAUACUGCUGGAGCCCUUUUACUGCUCACACCUCAGCUGACUUUGCUUUGCCUCAAGCACCUUUGGGGCUGCCGUACACCUCCCCCUCCCUUCAACCUGGCUGAAUCUGGCCCUCUUCUAUGGACCCCCCCUUCCCACUGACAACUCCUGGAUGUAAGAUUUGGGAAGCCGUAGGGUUCCUCAGUGUCUAGUUACAGUCUAGUGUGUGAAAAGUGCUGGAAAAUUACUGGGAAGAGAGAUUGGAGCCAGGGAUUCCAGAGCUGGAGCAUCUGGAUGUGGUGGAGAGAAGAACCGGAGGACUGGGCUCCGGAAUGCCUGGCAGAGAGGCUCCUCCCUUUGUCCACAGAGGACAGGACAGAGUGAACAUUCUGCAACAUUCUCCAACAGCCUGCAGAGUGGAGAAUGUCUUUGCCAGCUAUGCCUCAGACAGGGGCUGGGCGUCUAGAAUAUAUAAAGAACUGCAGUAAUUAAACUUCAAAAUAGCUAGUCAAUAAAUCAGCCAAUGAAUGGAAGAUACCGUUCGCAAAAGUAGGACCACAUAUGGACACCAGAGAUUAAAAAGGCGUUCAGCAUUCUUAGUUACCAGCUGAGUGAAAAUUGAAGCUACGUUUUGGAUUCCAUCUUCCCCUAGUGACAAUUACUAAGAUAAAGAAAAGAGACAGCAGUGCUGUUGAGCAAAGAAAUGGAACCAGCCCAAA
rnacentral:lncRNA from 1 species